rnacentral:misc_RNA from 1 species
CCCAUGUUCUUCUGGAGAAAGCGGGGCUGCGCUGACAAUAGCAUCUAGAGCACUUUGGUCAAGUUCCAUCGAGUCUUGGGAAUCUUGGAAAGCUGGAUCUGUCCAAUUGAUGGGUCCAUCUGGUGGAGUGGAUAGUGGUCCCAAUGUGACAAAUAUGACUUGAGUAUCCGAUGCAUGAGUGAAAUUAUUUACAUCACAAAGAUGCUGGGCUAGUUGUCUUCUUAAUGGGCUCAUAGCCCCUUUGUCUGUGAUAGUCCCAGUAUAGACUCUCCAGUCAUAAGAAGUGUUCUGGGUCCAUAAAAGCCUAUCAGGCCGUUGGAAAAAGGGCCUAUGAAAAAUGAAUAGGGCUUUAACAAUGCUUUGUUGGGCCAUGUGUCUAUUUUCAAUUCCUUGACUAUCUAUGAUUUGACGGAGACUGUAAGACUAUGUAGAGAUGGGUCUAAACUAUUCAAGGAAUCUUGAGAGGAGAGUUCUUGAUUGGUGGUUCUGGACAUAUUGGUAAAGGGCCAAGAAAGGGAAUUCAAGGGCUACUGAGUAGAGAAUAGUAAAACACCAAAGAAACCAGAGUUCUUCUAGGAUUAACUCUGUUUCAGGAUGGAUGCUGAUACAGUUGAGAAAAGGAUAGUCUGGCUGGAAAAAAGGAUUCUGAGGGAAUAGUUUGUCUGAGAAUAUUUCUGGCACUUUGGAAAUGAAAGAGAUGCUUUCUUGCAUAGUCUUUGAGCUGUGCAGGAGCCAUGGUAGAGGAAUUCCAAGAGGAAAACUGUCUGUAGGAGGGAUCAAGAAGUUGGGAGUAUCAGGUAUUGAAGAAGAGGCCAUUAGGAUUAAUGGUAAAGAAGAAGAUGAACAGAGUAGUUAGGCUGGUUUUGGGCGAGAAAGGAGGUCUGGUAAGAAGAAGAUCAACAUCCAACCCCUUCUGAUAUUAUUAAUCUUACCUCCUCCUUAUCCUUCUCUACACCCCUUAGAAGAACCCUUUCUUCUAUAAUUGAUAAUCUUGUAGAAAUCUCCAACCUUCCUGAAGAUGCUCAGGUCGGAGAAUCACUUCUCCCUCUUCUUAGUCCUUACCAUAUUUAUCGACGCCCUGGAUCUUUCACUAAGAGUAUCAGAUCUCUUAUUUCCACUCAU